AUCCCAUAAUGAGGGCAUUUACGUAGUAACUCCUUGAAUCUUUCCCAUGCCUUGUAUAAGGACUCGUCAUCCAAUUGUUGAAAAAUGUUGAUCUCAUUCCACAACUU
rfam:Gossypium hirsutum cultivar TM-1 chromosome 7, whole genome shotgun sequence